UAACGAAGGGGAGGGCUAGCGUUGCUCGGAAUACUGGGCGUAAAGCGCACGUAGGCGGCUACUAUAGCGGUGGUGAAAUCCUGGAGCUCAACUCCAGAACUGCCUUCGAUACUGGAGAGCUCGAGUCCGGGAGAGGUGAGUGGAACUGCGAGUGUAGAGGUGAAAUUCGUAGAUAUUCGCAAGAACACCAGUGGCGAAGGCGGCUCACUGGCCCGGUACUGACGCUGAGGUGCGAAAG
rnacentral:rRNA from 1 species